GCUGCACCCAGGCCUUUGUGACUGGGAGCCAGUGGGUCACCCAGAGCCCUCAAUAAGAGGGCAGCAGGUCGGGCCAGGCCAGAGCCUGGACCUGGGGUCAGGAAGGGGUUGCAGGGAAGGAUGGAGGGGCUGAAAACCCUGGGCCCCUGCGGCCACGCCCAACCCCAGUGUCCCCCAGCCGCAGCCUCCAGCAGCCAUGGAGGAUGCCUGGACUAGCACUGCCAGGGAUUUGUAGUGUGACCCUGCCUGGGCCCCAUCUCCUCUGCUCACUCAGUGCAGUCCCAGAGACCUUACCCAGUCCCAGGGGCAGGGGGUAGUGGGGAGGGGAUCCAGGGUGGAGGGCGAGGCUGCCAGGAUCUUUUCUGUCCAGCGAGGAGCAGAGAGCGAGAAACCCUGAAGGGCUGAGACAAGGAGACCUGGAGUCAGGGCUCGGGUGGGGCUGGCCCCUGCACCCAGGGUCGAACCAGGGGGCUCCCAGGCAGGGGGGAUUCACUGGCUCCGGGGUCAGACCCUGCCCAUGCCCACCCCUGUCAUCAGAGGGAGGGGCCCUGGCCUUGCCCAAGGCAGCCCUGUCCCAGCUUCAGUGUGGGCCUCUGGGCUCUGCAGAACAGUCCUUCCUGGAGCAGGAGAACCACAGCCUGAAAAGACAGAACCAGGACCUUCGGGAGCAGCUGGGGGCCCUCCUGGGGCCGGGGCAGCAGUUCCUGCCCCUGUGUCCCGAACACUCAAGCUGCACUGCUCUGGCCUGGCCCCCCGACCCGGCUGGCACGCAGCCCUUGGGGAACAGGGCACCUCUGCAGCUGCUG
rnacentral:lncRNA from 1 species